rnacentral:rRNA from 1 species
CUACGGGGUGCACCAGUGGGGAAUAUUGCACAAUGGGCGCAAGCCUGAUGCAGCAACGCCGUGUGAGGGAUGAAGGCCUUCGGGUUGUAAACCUCUUUUAGCAGGGAAGAAGCGAAAGUGGCGGUACCUGCAGAAAAAGCACCGGCUAACUACGUGCCAGCAGCCGCGGUAAUACGUAGGGUGCAAGCGUUGUCCGGAAUUAUUGGGCGUAAAGAGCUCGUAGGCGGUUUGUCACGUCUGCUGUGAAAAUCCAAGGCUCAACCUUGGACUUGCAGUGGGUACGGGCAGGCUAGAGUGCGGUAGGGGAGAUGGGAAUUCCUGGUGUAGCGGUGGAAUGCGCAGAUAUCAGGAGGAACACCAAUGGCGAAGGCACAUCUCUGGGCCGUAACUGACGCUGAGGAGCGAAAGCGUGGGGAGCGAACAGGAUUAGAUACCCGAGUAGUC